CAAACUCUGAAACCCUAGUUAAUUCAAAUUCAAAGUCUGAAACUUGCGCCUCCUUCCCCCAACGCCUCUUUCUCUCAAAUCUCCCUUCUCUCUCGCCUCUGCCGGAAACGGCUGCCACUGCCGGCCCGCCGGCCAUCUCUCCCUGCUUCCCUUCUCUCCUUUCCUCUCUUCUCACUCUCCCUCUCGGUCUCCCUCUCCGCCAGCACCGCCGCCGGCUGGAAACUGCCGCUGCUGUCGUCGGGCUGCCGCCGUCGCUGCGCCGGCCGCCGUCGCCGUCGUCGUUCGUGAGAAAUUAAGAGGGGUUGAAAAGGAGCCAAGAAGUGUCGUGUUUGCCGUAUUUCGCCACCACCGCCGGCUGCCGUCGCCGCCGCCGACCCGGCGCUGCUGCUGUUGCUGACAGAGGACAGAAACUCCAGCCAGGGACAUGGUUUGGGAGAAAAAGUGGGCAUUCGAGACUAAAGAGUGGCUAUCCGAAAAGUGCCAUAAUGCCUAUUGCAAAGUGUUGGAUACAGAGGGUUAUAUAUAUAUAUAUAUAUAUAUAUAUAUAUAUAUAUUCACAUGUAUAGCUAGUGUAUUACUCAUGCCGCAAGGCAAGCAAUUUUCCCAACUUCUUGCACCUACUUGUUCGAGCAAUUUUCCUUUCUCCCAUCUUGGAGCUUGGGAAGGGGUGGACUGCAGAAGCAACUAGCUUCCUAUAUUGGACUCCCGGCCCUGAUGAAUAAAAUGAGUAGGGAAUGAGCUUCAUAAAAGGGAAUUUUAAUGCCAGAAAAGGAAGGUAGGAAGGUAAGACUGAUCUUGCAAAGAUGAUAGGAAAGAAAGAUGGCAUGGCAAUAUAUUUUUAAAGAAAACAAUUUAAUCGAUCAAUCAAAAUUGAAUGUUGGAAAGUUUCGAAGAUGAUCUAAAUUGACAGAGUACUACGUUUUUUUAUUCUGAUAAAGAUACACUGGUAGAUGUUUGCUUUCAGCAUUUUGGUAUGUGAGAAGGUACCAGGUUUCUAGCAGGCCGGAAAUCCGAGCUAUUAUUGUAGUCGUCAAAUCUUGGUCUUUGAGGAUUCUGGUAACUCUACUUCUCAUCUUUUUCGGGUGUCAUUCAAACCUGUAUAUACUCAACUUGUGAUGUUUCCUACUUAUACAUGAGUGCCUAACUGCUAUUUAUUCUCAUUCAUGCCUGAUAUGUUGAUUUUAUAGAGGACUUACAUGUUUUUUUGUAAUUGACAUGUUAUGAUUAAGAGUAAAUUUCCGAGAGGUUGUCUGCCAUGGCUCUCUAAUAUGUGCUUCUCCCUAGUUUUUCAUGAUUUCAUACACAUCACCAAUUGAUAAACAAUGGAUAUUAGCUUCUUAAAUAUCCAAAAAUUGCCCUAGUACUAUGCUACUCUGUACUGAGGACGAAAUGCUUCCAUGAACAGAGUUUCACCACUUGCUAUUUGUGUAUGCAUGCAAGAUUUUCUCUCUAUUGAUUGUCACUACUUUCACCACUUUUUUAUGGGUUAUUAGUGUAGGCUUCAUUUCUCUCUCGGGUUGAUCUGAAAACUUGUUGCUUACUAACUUCUGGAGAACUAGGUUUCUCGUGCUUCAAUAAAGUGACAAUAGUGUUCUUUGGUGCCCGAUUUCUUGAGCUAAGGAGAGAGAACUAUUCCGGUUUUGAAAAAUUAAUUGAAAAAGCCAUAGGGCCGAUCGAAUGGAUGAGAGCUUUAUGAGUUGCAAUCUUGUUGAUAUUGGUGCAUAAAAAUGAUUUAGGCAAUAGGACAAAAAGCCUCAUAUCCAAAUUAUCACAUGCCUAACCCUACAUAAACCCCUAGUGAGCCAUUUUGAGCCCCAAAAACCUAAUUUCUUUGUUUAAAAAUUUUGAAGUCACUAUAUUAGCCAUACUUAUUAUAUCCAUUUGUCGGCCUAUAUUUUCUACCAUAGUCACUAAAAUUAAAAUGCUAGCACAUUCUUGGGAGGGUUUUAAUGGUGGCAAGGAAAAGAUGGAAGUCCUGUAACAUUCUUGGGAGGGUACUUAUAGUGGCAAGAAAAAGAUGGAAGUCCUGGAACAUUCAUCAGGUGGUAUUCAUUUAUACUGAGAUACAAAGUGAAAAAGCUUCGUCUUCAAACAAAAAUAAAAUAAAAAGGCAGCCUUUAAAGUGUAAAAAAAAUCCAAGGCUAGAAAAAAAAGACAGCCUUUCAUGUGUAAGAAAAAGCCAAGGCCAGAAAAGUAAAAGGCAACCUUUCAUGUGUAAAAAAAAGCCAAGGCUAGAAAAGUAAAAGGCAGCCUUUCAUGUGUUAAAAAAAGCCAAGGCUAGUAAAAAAUAAAAAUAAAAGGCAGCCUUUCAUGUGUAAAAAAAAGCCAAAGGCUAGAAAAAAAGUGAAAAAUAGAAAUCUGCUCAAAAGAAUAUGAUGACUUUGUUUAGAUGGUAGAAAAAUUCGAGUUUUAGGUGUUGAGAUGUCAGAAUUUCGCACGCAUUGAGUGAGAUGUGAAGGAUGUUGUGAAGGAUGCUAUGAUGGAUGUGCUAGUAUUUUAAGAAGGUGAUAAGCUACUUAACCAAAUAUGAUCACACCUUUACCAAAAGCCCCAUUACAUCCAAAUGAAUAAGACCUUUUGAUUUAUGCAUCAUACUGACUUGUGAGCGAUGAAUUUUGCUUGAGUUUGGGAGAAAGAUCUUAUGUGCUUAAAAGAAAGAAUAGCCGGAAGAUAUUCUCUUUAUGAAUUAGUGACGAUGGUUUGAGACUCCCAAGACAUAAAUCGAACUUACAUUGAAGUAUUGGGAUGCCUAGCUCUUAGGGAAUUAGUUCGUGUACAAUUCUUGUUCUAAAGUCUUACCCGCGAGUGAAUUCGGGGUCAACCUAAUUUCUCUAAAUGAUUUGUGUGAUUUGACGUGACUUGAAGUAGAGGAUUAUCUAAUGUCUUGUGAAUGUGCUUAUUUGUCUAACUUGACUUGAAGUAGAGCAAGACUUAUGUUUUGGCGUAUUUGAUGUGUGUGGGUAAUUGUUUAACUUGUUAUUAUACAAUGGAUGGAAUGGAGGGUAGCGUACUAUUGCUCCAGUUCAAUUUUGACCAUCUCACUAUUUAUUCCAGUGAGUUGAAGGGUAUAAAGCUGCAACCAAUAUUUGCUUCAAUAGUCAAACAUUUAUUUUUAUAAACCUAAAUCUUUCUGAUGCUCUACACUUGUCGGUACCUGAUAAAAUUGGGGUUGUACUUGCUUUGUCUAUUUCUGAAGAACACGAUAUAUUCACUAUGCCUGGAUGUGUGGUUAGUUAUUCUCUUCUUUGUACAUACAUUUAGAUAUAAUUUUUUGUUUAGUUGUAGGAAGUGGAAUACAUACAACAGCUUAUAAUUUUUACCUCCUUGGAAUUCUUCUACAUGUUGCACUAAACCUGUAACCCUUUUCUUGGUUGUAUGCAGGAAAGACUUUGUGUUUGAGUCAGAUCACAGAGCAAUCAUGCUGCGUUUGAGGCUAUUGAGAUAAUUCAGCAUAUUCUUGUAUUACUCGUAGUCGAUUUGAAGGCCUCUCUAAGCAUUUAGAUUCAUUCUUGCAAAUGUUAUCUCUUGUGCAACUAAGGUGUUUUCCGUGAAAGUUCCUAUGCAUAAAUAGACUAGAAAGUACUUAGUCGAUCUAAAGGUCGAGGGUGGUAGGGGGCGACUGAGUUCUUAACAUAAAAGAAACGGGUGGAAAGGAUGGAAAACUGAAGGCACAAGUCUAUUUAUUGAUUUUUGAGCUUGCUUUGCUUGAUCUUUUGCUUCUUGGUUGUUGCACCUAUAUUUUUCUGCUUAUUUAAUUGAUUCUUUGCUGCAUUUUUGCAGAUUUAUAAUUAAUCUGUUAAAUAUAUUAUAGUUUUGUAAGUUAUACUGAGGCUGACGUUUUUCUUCUUUUUCUAAUCCACUGUUUGCUGUCUUGCUGCUCUAUAAAUAAUACAUGCAUAGUAUCCUAUUUUUCUUUAUCUCAUAUGCCUGCACAAAUAUGUGUUAUAUUAGUGUUUCUUUGAUAUAUAAACCCCCAUUGAUUGUCAAAUCUUGGCAUCUUAAUAUAUGUUUUUACAGGCUCUUUCCCAAGUACUUACUAGACACAUUUCCUUUUUACUUUGGCAUUAGGUUUGCUGAACUUGCAUCUAAAAAGAAAUCAUGGGCCUUGGAAGCUGGUUGAGCUCUCAAUUGAGUCUAUAACAAAUGUAUAUAGUAUUUUACCGUACAUGCAAUAUCUACACUUUGAGAAGAUUUUGCCUUUUAUACAUAUGCAGUUUUCAAUUUCUCAUUUGUUUUGCCUACUGUUAACAUGGGCAUUUGUUUUGUAUAGUUUCUUGCAUUGCUGAAAAAAUGUUUGGUAUAGAUUCAAGAGAGUUAAAUGCUCCCACCGAGGCAAGUUACCCGAAGGGCCAACUGGAACGUAAUACAAAGCGCUUGGCAGAUGUCGUCUCAGAUGCUUCAAAUUUUCGGAUCGGUCAUUAAGCAUCAACGUGUGACUCACCUUACCUUACGCUGGGUAUUGCUUUACGAGCUGAUUUAGAUGCUUUGAGGAAGCUUGCAUAUUGGGAAGCUUGUCCCUUCCUCGGUUAUCAGUUAAUGUUAUUAUUGUGAGUUUUAGCUACCUCGGUUAUCAGUUAAUGUUAUUAUAUUAUGAGUUUUAGCUACCUCGGUUAUCAGUUAAUGUUAUUAUUGUGAGUUUUAGUCUUACUUCGGAUUUAUGACAUUAUGAUGUUUUCCUUUGGGGGUAAGGCAUUGGAGCAGUUUGUGGACCGUCUCAUUGAGUAUUACUGCUCCAGUUUAGUUUUGACCACCUCAAUAUAUUCAAACAUUUAUUUAUUAAACCUAACCUUAGUUCGAUAUUAAGUGUGUCAUUCAUACUAAAGCUGAAGAACUACUGCACAAUCUUUCUGAUGCUUUACACUUGUCGAUACCCAAUAAAAUUGGAGUUGGUCUUGCUUUGUCUCAUUCUGAAGAACACGAUAUCUUCACGAUACCAGGAUGUGUGUUUGCUGUACUUGCAUCUAAAAAAGAAAUCAUGGGCCUUGGAAGCUGGUGGAGCAAUCAAUGAGUGUCAGUAAAGAUACUUUCUAUAAGGAUCAGUCAUUAAGCAUCAAUGUGUGACUCACCUUACGUGGGGUAUUGCUUUACGAGCUGUUUUAGAUGCUUUGAGGAAGCCUGCAGAUUCAGAAGUUUGUUCCUUCCUAGUUUAUCAGUUAAUGUUAUUAUUGUGAAUUUCAGUCUUACCUUGAAUUUAUGACAUUCUGAUGUUUUCCUUUGGGAGUAUGGCAUUGGAGCAGUUUGUGGACCAUCUCAUUGAGUGGCCACAGUAUGCCAUCAUAUCCUGCACUGAGUAGCAUUUAUAGAUGGGGCACUCAACAGUAUUUCCGCGGCUUAUACUGAACCUGAUGUUGGCCAUACUGCCAAUACUGGUUGUGGAUAAUACUUCUACUCCAAGUGAUUUGUGUGAACUCAUGAUCACUGCAAAUUUGUCCUUCUGGUUUCAGAUUGCAGGCCCACCAUUUUCUCUGAUCGGACCCAACAGCAAUUAUCUGGAUUAUCAAUUCCCUCUUCGAUCCCACUGCAACAUAGACCACCAAGUUCUCUGAGUUCACUCCUAAUUACAUGAAGCCAUCAUAACACACCUACCCUUCCUAAGGUAGGUAAUAGUGUCUUUGUCUACUAAUCUACUCAAAAACCUACAAUGCAGUCACUCAGUGCUGCUUUGCUGUCAAUACAAUCUGCCUCGUCGGAUUUCCGUGGGCUUCUAGAUCAACCUCAGCAAGCAAGUAAAUAAUCAGGUUUAACUGUGCUACUCUCUCUCACUGUGCGCUUUAUGGAUUACAUUAACAUGGGGACUGGUUUUACAACUAUGAGAAGAGAAACUCCCAUAGAGGUGAUUGGAUGUAGCUAUCUUAUCAUUUUUAAUUCUCUGUUUACACUUUGUCUUGAUCCUUAUGGUUUUCCCAUGCUUUUACUUUGAGGAUUUUCUUCCUUGUUAUGAGUUAGCAAUUAAAAGUUCUAUUAAUAGCACAUUUAACUUUAUCCCACUGGUUAACUAAAAUCUCACACUUCUAAAUUCUUUCUUAACUCCCGACUACUUUCUCGUUUUCCUUUUCCCCUUUAGUUUCCUUAUUAUUUGUUUUCUUCCCUGUGCAAUGGAGCCGUUCUGAUUCUGGUUCAGGCCAUCAUGAACUUAAAGUUAUCGUGCUCAGACAAUAUUUCCUCAUACAUGGCUGUUAUCUCCUGCCUAAAAUCUAAAGCUUUAUCUAUUUGUGAUUUUUUCUGUUGCAGCUUAUGCAACUCUGUGAAGCUGAAAGUGUAUCAUACCCGGAUGACGUGGCCAGCAACACAGCAACUCAGGAUAUGGCAAAGUCAGCUGGACUCGAGGUUCUUGCAUUGCUGAAAAAAGCUUGGUAUAGAUUCAAGACAGUUAAAUGCUCCCUCCGAGGCAAGUUACCGAACGGGCAAUGGAGCUUAAGACAAAGCUCUUGGCAGAUGCCGUCUCAAAUGAUUCAAAUUAUCAGUCAUUCAUCAUGAAUUGUGUUUAUUCUGUUUGUAUUUUGUGUAUGUAUUUUGUGUAUUGUGUAGUGUUUUUUUGUAUGCAUGUGUAGAGUGUGUUUGUGUAGCGUAGGUAUUUUUGUGUAUAGUGUAUGUAGUGCAGUGUGUUUUGUUGUGUGCGGACACUACGUCUAUUUUGUGUACAGUGUGUGAAUUUUA